CUGGCAACCACACCUAGCUCCCUCCCCCUGCAACCCCGCACCCCGCCUGGUAAAAGUCCAGCCCAUCUGCUGUCUGCUGCCCCACCUCCUCCGGCACCACCCCGUGCAAACUCAGCGCCACCCAGCCCUGCACCCACCCCCAGCAUUCCACCGUCGGGUGUCCGUUGGAAGGCAGGUCUGGAAGCUCUUAGCCCAGCAUCAAACAGAGUGCUCUAGGAGCUGAGGGGAGGGCUGAAGGGCAGAGAGCAAGCAAGACAGCAGGCCUCCUUGUUACGGUUAGCAGACUCAUGAUAACGCCAGCGUGGACGCCAGCUGCUCUCUGGGCUGUGGAAUUCCAAGGCUUGGCACAGCACUGGCUUGCAGCUUCUCACCUGAGCAGGAGAUAACAGGGAGCUUGGACAAUAGUAGUGAGGAUUGGAUUUCACCACAUGAAGGCUUGGAGGCUCACACCAGACCCUCAGCAGCCACUCUCCUCCGUACCUCACAGGCCCCACUGCACACUUCUGCUGCUACUAGCUAAUGGAUAAAUGGAUAAUUGACAAAUGAGGGAGAAAAUAUUCAUUCUACUUUAAAGAGGCCAAGGCUUCCACCUCAAGGAAUUGGAGCUACUGAAAAAGAGCAGACAAUGUGAUUCAACACUGUUACCCUCUCUACCUUUUCAUCCAGCUCUUGAAACUUUUAAAAAAAUCAGCCCAGGAUGUAUCUCAGUGGUAUAGUACUUGCCUGGCAUGUGUGAGACCCACAUUAGAUCUCCAGUACCACAAAAAAAAAAAAUUUUCAAGGAAAUCAAAAAAAAUCAGCC
rnacentral:lncRNA from 1 species